GUUACGACUGUUGACUUUAGUAAAAUCACACAGACAGCCAAGACAUUCCUUAUUGACCUAAAAAAAAGAGGGACAGCUAUUACAAAGGAAGCUUGUUGGAAGAUUGGGGUGAGUGGAAUGGAAAUGCAGCAUCUCUAAAAAUAAUAGAUUGAAAAUAUUGUCAAAACUCCAAGACGUAGAAGUACAAUAUGAAAACCACAACUACUGCGAAGGGCAAAACAUCAUGAAAACAAUGUCUACUAAAGAACGCAUUCUUAGAAAAAAGCACUGUGAAGAUUCUCAAUUUUUCAAGCAAGUACCAAGGAAGGUGAAGAUUCUCAAUUUUUCAAGAAAGUACCAAGCAAAGCAAAAUGAUAUCGACGAAACCAAGGUUGAAAACCUUUGGAUAUAGAGUAGAUGUUGCUCUACCGACGUCAAAAUGACGACAAAACAAGUUGGAAAUUAGUUGACAGAAUUUAGCUUACUUGAAAAGAUAGCUCAAUUUUUCUAAGCAUUUUGUUUCUCGAACUAAACACUGGCCUUUUCUAAAUGAGUAUAUAUAAAAUGUAUUUCGUCAGUUUUUCGAUUAGAAAAAUAAAUCAAUUGUCUAUUAUAUUUCACAUGCAUUACGAUUCAAUGCAUCACAAAUAA